rnacentral:rRNA from 1 species
AUUGAACGCUGGCGGCGUGCUUAACACAUGCAAGUCGAUCGGUAACGCGGGGGCAACCCUGGCGACGAGAGGCGGACGGGUGAGGAACGCUUGGGAAUCUGCCUAUCAGCGGGGGGCAACCCGGGGAAACUCGGGCUAAUACCGCAUACGCUCUACGGAGGAAAGCCGGGGACCGCAAGGCCUGGCACUGAUAGAUGAGCCCAAGUCGGAUUAGCUAGUUGGCGGGGUAACGGCCCACCAAGGCGACGAUCCGUAGCUGGUCUGAGAGGACGAUCAGCCACACUGGGACUGGGACACGGCCCAGACUCCUACGGGAGGCAGCAGUGGGGAAUAUUGGACAAUGGGGGAAACCCUGAUCCAGCGACGCCGCGUGGGUGAAGAAGGCCUGCGGGUUGUAAGGCCCUUUCGGUAGGGACGAAAGCUCUCGACCUAACACGUCGGGAGGUUGACUUAACCUACAAAAGAAGCACCGGCUAACUCUGUGCCAGCCGCCGCCGUAACAC